rnacentral:rRNA from 1 species
CAUGCAAGUCGAACGGUGAACCGGAGCUUGCUCCGGGAAUCAGUGGCGAACGGGUGAGUAACACGUGAGAAACCUGCCUCGAAGUCUGGGAUAAGCCAGGGAAACUUGGUCUAAUACCGGAUACCUUCAUUUGUUCUUAUGUUCGAAUGAAGAAAGUUUUUCGCUUCGAGAGGGUCUCGCGUCCUAUCAGCUUGUUGGUGGGGUAACGGCCUACCAAGGCUUCGACGGGUGGCUGGUCUGAGAGGAUGGUCAGCCACACUGGGACUGAGACACGGCCCAGACUCCUACGGGAGGCAGCAGUUAGGAAUCUUGCGCAAUGGGCGAAAGCCUGACGCAGCAACGCCGCGUGAGGGAUGAAAGCUUUCGGGUUGUAAACCUCUUUCAGCAGGAACGAAAUUGACGGUACCUGCAGAAGAAGCUCCGGCCAACUACGUGCCAGCAGCCGCGGUAAUACGU